ACGAACGCUGGCGGCAUGCCUAACACCUGCAAGUCGCACGAGAUCUUCGGGUCUAGUGGCGCACGGGUGCGUAACGCGUGGGAACCUGCCCUUAGGUUCGGAAUAACUCCCCGAAAGGGGUGCUAAUACCGGAUAAUGUCUUCGGACCAAAGAUUUAUCGCCUUUGGAUGGGCCCGCGUUGGAUUAGCUAGUUGGUAGGGUAAAAGCCUACCAAGGCGACGAUCCAUAGCUGGUCUGAGAGGAUGAUCAGCCACACUGGGACUGAGACACGGCCCAGACUCCUACGGGAGGCAGCAGUGGGGAAUAUUGGACAAUGGGCGAAAGCCUGAUCCAGCAAUGCCGCGUGAGUGAUGAAGGCCUUAGGGUUGUAAAGCUCUUUUACCCGGGAUGAUAAUGACAGUACCGGGAGAAUAAGCUCCGGCUAACUCCGUG
rnacentral:rRNA from 1 species